rnacentral:piRNA from 1 species
UGUGAGUUUGAGACCAACCUGGUCUACAG